UACGGAGGGGGCUAGCGUUGUUCGGAAUUACUGGGCGUAAAGCGCACGUAGGCGGCUUUGUAAGUUAGAGGUGAAAGCCUGGAGCUCAACUCCAGAAUUGCCUUUAAGACUGCAUCGCUUGAAUCCGAGAGAGGUGAGUGGAAUUCCGAGUGUAGAGGUGAAAUUCGUAGAUAUUCGGAAGAACACCAGUGGCGAAGGCGGCUCACUGGCUCGUAUCUGACGCUCAGGCGCGACAGCGUGGGGGAUCAAACAGG
rnacentral:rRNA from 1 species